CUUGACAGAUACAGGCUAUACAGUACAUAGAUUUCACUGCUUGUCCGCAAGAUACAGGGAAGGAGAGGAAGAGAAAUACAGUCAGCGUUCAUAGACAAAUUCCUGCCUUAAGGAGACUACAGGACAGUAAUGCUUUUCUGCCAAUCUUCAAACUAUGCAAGUUCACUAUAAUGGUAUGCCAUCAAACCUGUUUCACUCUAAACAACAAACUAGACUUAAGAACAAAAUUACGACAAAUACAAACAUGCUCAUUGCUUUAAGGAAAGUUAAGAGUGGCUUGUAGGUGUUCCGUUACACUUCAUUUUAAUGCCGCUUGACUACAUGCAAAUUACAACCCAUAUCAUAUCCUGCAGUUAAGUGUUGCUGUCCUGCAAGAAGUUUAAUAUCAAAAGAAUAACAGUCUUGCAAAAGUAAAAUUUUUGCUCUUUCAUUGACUGUGCAACAGCAGAGCAGUUUCCUGUCACGUACACAAGCUCACAUGUGGACACCUACUCAUAAAAAAAAAAGAAAUGAAACCUUUUCAUGUGCAAACCCUUAGUGUAGCUAAAGGUUAAAUUCAGUCAAAAGUUAAACAAAAAUGGUCCAUACACCUGACAGUUUCCUAGAAUCACAAGGAGCCAACUGAAGUGUUCUACUGUAUUAUGUUAAAAAUAUGAAUACUUGUGUAGAGAUCUAAUCAAUAAGAAAAGGGAUUAUAACAUUCUUAAUAUCAGGCAGAGAGGGCCAUCAUAAGUCAAAGCAACCAUACUAUGAAUUUGGAGAGAAGGCAUGUAAGGUAAUGGCAUGGCAGCUUAAGGCAGACCAAAACAGGCAAAAAUGAUAAAUUCUAUAGAUAUCGGUCAUAACAUUUCCCAUAACCCUACAGAGAUAAACAAUGCUUUUAAAGAAUUUUAUGAAGCACUUUACACAUCCCAAGUAAAUGAAAAUCUUAACCAAAUGUAAGCUUUUGUCUCCUCUGUCGAUCUACCAUCCUUAUCUGAAGAGAAUUGAUCUAGCUUGGAUAAACCAUUCUCUAUAUCUGAGCUGAAUGAAGCUAUUACAGUUAUUGUCUUCCAAUAAGCAACGAGGGGAGGAUGGCUUACCCCCCUGAAUUCUAUAAGAAAUUUAGAUAUUUGCUUACACCAUUUUUAAUGGAUGUUAUGGACCAAUCCAGACAUGAUAAUGCUUCCCAGAUACUUUUUCUAAUGCAGUCAUUUCAGUUAUUUAUAAGAAAGGUAAAGACCCGUUACAAUGUACUCAUUUUUUAAUAAAGACUAUUAAAUAGUAACUAAAAUGAUUGCUAGGAGAAAAUUUGCUACCUGUAUUGGUGAAGCCAAUAGGUUGUCCUCAGAUAACCUAAGGCAUUUUUAUUUAUUUAACUAACUGCUAAUGUCAAUCAGAUACCUGGAGUAGCUGUUUCCCUCGACACAGAAAAGGCAUUUGACAGUGUCGAAUGGCCAUACUUAUUUCAAGUGCUUGAAAAAUUUGGUUUUGGUGUAGAAUUCAUAGACUUGACUCAAUCACUUUACAAAUCUCCUAAAGCUAAAAUUGUCACCAAUGGAGUCACCUCUGCUCCAUUUCCUCUGUCUCGAGGAUGCAGACAGGGAUGCCCACUUGCAAAAGACAUUUGGACAGAAAUAAUUUCUUUCCCCUAAGACACCAAUAUGGGGCAACAGAUUGCUUCCAAAAUGUUUUAAGAAUAAACACUUUAAAAUAUGUGCUGAUAAAGGAAUUAUUUGUCUAGAGCAAAGGCACGAGGAUGGAAUAUUAUUCUUUUGAACAGCUGAAAUCCAGGUAUAAUUAAUUUAUAUAAAUUAUUAUAAAAUUGGUUUAUAUGAGCCAACAAACCUAUAAGAUAAUCUUUAGAAUAUAUAAUGCCCUUAUGACAAAUAAACCUCCACCUGAACUAGAUAAAUCUAAAGUCAGAUAGGAACGUGAUCUAGGCAUUAGUCUGGAGUGAAUAUGCAAGAAAG
ensembl:lncRNA